rnacentral:rRNA from 1 species
UGCGGCGGUCAUGGCCAGGGUGAGACGCCCGGUCCCAUUCCGAACCCGGAAGCUAAGGCCCUGCACGGCGAUGGUACUGCACCCGACAGGGUGUGGGAGAGUAGCACGCCGCCGCAU